rnacentral:ribozyme from 1 species
GUUUUUUUUUUUUUUUUUUUUUUUUUUUUCCUCUGGCGCUUGUGAUCAUUGGAAAGUC